CGCGGGAGUCGGGCGGACGGCGUCGUCGCCAACCUGGUCAGGUCCGGAAGGAAGCAGCCACAACGAUUUCGCGCCGGGUCGUUCCGGCUCCCACCGGAA
rnacentral:SRP_RNA from 1 species